rnacentral:rRNA from 1 species
UACGUAGGGUGCAAGCGUUAUCCGGAAUUAUUGGGCGUAAAGAGCUCGUAGGCGGUUUGUCACGUCUGCUGUGAAAACUGGAGGCUCAACCUCCAGCCUGCAGUGGGUACGGGCAGACUAGAGUGCGGUAGGGGAGAUUGGAAUUCCUGGUGUAGCGGUGGAAUGCGCAGAUAUCAGGAAGAACACCGAUGGCGAAGGCAGUAUCUGGGCCGUAACUGACGCUGAGGAGACGAAAGCGUGGGGGAGCGAACAGG